AAAGCUGUGGUUUCCGGUGACUUGUGAUUUCUGGUAACGUUUUGAGAAGUGCUAAGCUAGAGAAACGUACCCCCAUAAUGUGGACCAGAGCCAGGGGAAACAAGAGGCAGGUAGGCUGUGUCGCACCACAGGAGCCAUAGUAGACUCUCAGUGAAAGGAUGUCCCCAUGAUGCUCCUUGUUCUACAAGCUCUAGGCAUUGGACUCUGCCUUCUGUGGAGGAGCCCCUCCUUGCCCCUUGGUUUAGGCAUUGACAGCUGUCCUCCCUGUUGCUGGAGGCACCUGGGAUUUUCAGCAAUGUGACAGCAAGUGACCUGCGAAUGGGAGUAAAGUUUGCAAAUACUGAGUUACCCCGCUACAGGGAGAUACUUCUUCGAAUUUGACAAAUCAAAUGACAAUUGUGCAAUUGAGCAUAGUGCCCUCACUUCCUUGAGCAUCAUGAGCCCGAUAGAAGGCGGGAUCUAGAAAAUUCUGUGUGAGAGUCGCUCUGAGAGUGCAAGGUACCAGGGUGCAGGAAACAGAAAGCAGAAGAGCUGGAAGGAUCUACGGGCAACUACCCUGUGGAGAGCACAUAGACGGGCUCGGAUUGUGUCCCAGAUAUAUGCCUGAAGACUGAUUUUGGAUGGUGAAAAUUGUACCUAGUCAUGAGUGUUGGACUGAGAUGGCCAAGGACCCAGCCCAGCCCACAAGUUCCCCUAAAGGAGCCUCUUCUACAGCUGCCACUAGUUUCGAGUUCCCCAGUGGUAUGAGAAGGCUCCUUAGGCAUGUUGGGGGUGGGGAGGCAGGUGUGAUUGACUGCUGCUCCUUUUGCUUAUUGUGGAUGAACCAGAAGUGUCCCUAGUAGCAGGGCCAGAUGCAGAGGGUGUUGGAAUGGGGGCUGGGAGGAAAGGUGACAGCAGUCUACUUCCAGAGACUACAGUAUGAAAUGAGGGACCAUAUUCCUCCUGGAAGGGCAUGAACCUAAGAUGGAGAAAUUCAAAUGCGUCACUGAGCAGAAGUGAAACUGACUCUCUUGCCCUUCUUGAAAUAGAGAUGGAGGAUCUUUUCUGUCUGGUCGACAGGAAGGUGACUCAUAUUUCAGCUGCCCCUGUUGUGUAAGAAAUACAAAGAAAUGAGGUAAAGGACCCCAAUUGUGCCCUAAUACUGUGAAGAAAGCUCAGCAUGGCAGGAAUAGACACGUUUCUCUGCUUUUUUGGAUAAUGAUGUCCCAUUAAAACAGUAUUUCUUAUCAAUUUAAACUGAAA